AUAUAGUCUAGCCUGCCCGCUGAUUUUUUGAAGGGCCGCGGUACUUUGACCGUGCAAAGGUAGCAUAAUCAAUAGUUCUUUAAUUGGGAACUUGGAUGAAGGGCUGGACAAGAAGGAACCUGUCUCUCAAAUAAAAUUUGAAUUUCACUUUUAAGUGAAAAGGCUUAAAUAGAAUAAGGGGACGAUAAGACCCUAUAAAACUUGAUAUACAAGAAAUAUACUAACUUUUAAUUUUAAAGUUUAAAGAAGGGGGUAUAUGAUAUUGUUUUACUGGGGCGGUAAUUAUAUAAAAUUAGAAAAACUGUAAAUUGAGAUAAAUAACUAUAAUUAGAUGAUAUGAUCCCUUUAUAGGGAUUAAGAGAUUAAGUUACUUUAGGGAUAACAGCGUUAUUUCUCUUGAGAGUCCAAAUCGACAGAGUAAGUUGCGACCUCGAUGUUGAAUCAAGAUGUUAUUCAGGUGCAGAAGCCUGAAUUGUAGGUCUGUUCGACCUU
rnacentral:rRNA from 1 species